rnacentral:rRNA from 1 species
GGUGAUCUACCCAUGUCCAGGAUGAAGGUAAGGUAAUACUUACUGGAGGUCCGAACCCACGCACGUUGAAAAGUGCGGGGAUGAGGUGUGGGUAGCGGAGAAAUUCCAAUCGAACUUGGAGAUAGCUGGUUCUCUCCGAAAUAGCUUUAGGGCUAGCCUCGAGGUAAAGAGUCAUGGAGGUAGAGCACUGUUUGGACUAGGGGCCCUUCUCGGGUUACCGAAUUCAGAUAAACUCCGAAUGCCAUGUACUUAUACUCGGGAGUCAGACUGCGAGUGAUAAGAUCCGUAGUCGAAAGGGAAACAGCCCAGACCACCAGUUAAGGUCCCCAAAUAUAUGUUAAGUGGAAAAGGAUGUGGGGUUGCUUAGACAACCAGGAUGUUGGCUUAGAAGCAGCCACCAUUGAAAGAGUGCGUAAUAGCUCACUGGUCGAGUGACCCCGCGCCGAAAAUGUACCGGGGCUAAACAUAUUACCGAAACUGUGGAUGAACCUCUUUAGAGGUUCGU